GUACCGCAAGGGAACUACUAAAGCAACAAACAGCAAAGACUAACCCUUGUACCUUUCGCAUCAUGGUUCAGCAAGUCACCCAAGGCAAGAAGAAUCAUAGUCUACAACCCCGAAACCAGAUGAGCUACCUUCAAGCAGCCAAAAGGGCGCACCCUUCUCUGUAGCAAAAGAGUGGGAAGACUUGGAGGUAGAGGCAAAAUACCUACCGAAUCUGGAGAUAGCUGGCUACCCCAAAAGGAAUCUAAGUUCCACUUUAGACCAAAACUACACCGACAUCGCCUACACUAAAGAGACUCAAUAGGGGUACAGCCCUAUUGAAACAGGAUACAACCUGUAUUUGAGAGAACACCCUUCCCCACCCCCACCCCGUAGGCCUUAAAGCAGCCACCCAACAAAAUAUCGUUAAAGAAUUACCAAAAAAAUACAAAACCCAACCCAAAACUCCAAACCAACUAAAGGUUAAACUACAACCGUAGAAACAACCCUGCUAAAACUAAUAAUAAGACAGCCUCUCUACACGCACCUUUCCACUAGAAACAGAACAUCUACUAGACAUUAACAGACCUAACUAGGAUAAAACAACCCAAUAUACACCUUAACCCACACUGUGACCCCAACACAGGAGCGUCAAAAAGAAAGAUUAACCACUAUAAAAGGAACUCGGCAACCAAAGACCCCAACUGUUUAACAAAAACAUAACCUUUAGCCACAAACCAAUAUUAAAGGCAACGCCUGCCCAGUGAACAAUUCAACGGCCGCGGUACCCUAACCGUGCAAAGGUAGCGUAAUCACUUGUCUAUUAAUUGUAGACCCGUAUGAAAGGCAAAAUGAGGGUCUAACUGUCUCUUAUAGUAAAUCAAUUAAACUGAUCUCCCAGUCCAAAAGCUGGGAUCCCCCCAUAAGACCAGAAGACCCUGUGAAGCUUAAACUAAACUAUUAAACCCAAUAAUAACUCCUUUCGGUUGGGGCGACCUUGGAAAAAAAAAGAACUUCCAAAUAUAUGAUCAUUCACCACAUCCACUCCGGCCAACAAGCCUAACACGACCCAGCACAGCUGAUAAUCGAACCAAGCUACUCCAGGGAUAACAGCGCUAUCUUCUUCAAGAGCCCAUAUCAAAAAGAAGGUUUACGACCUCGAUGUUGGAUCAGGACAUCCUAAUGGUGCAGCCGCUAUUAAAGGUUCGUUUGUUCAACGAUUAACAGUCCUACGUGAUCUGAGUUCAGACCGGAGCAAUCCAGGUCGGUUUCUAUCUAUGAAGUGCUGUACCUAGUACGAAAGGACCGGUACAA
rnacentral:rRNA from 1 species